AGUGAACGCUGGCGGUAGGCCUAACACAUGCAAGUCGAACGGCAGCACAGUAAGAGCUUGCUCUUAUGGGUGGCGAGUGGCGGACGGGUGCGGAAAACAUCGGAAUCUACUUUUUCGUGGGGGAUAACGAAGGGAAACUUACGCUAAUACCGCAUACGACCUACGGGUGAAAGCAGGGGAUCUUCGGACCUUGCGCGAUUGAAUGAGCCGAUGUCCGAUUAGCUAGUUGGCGGGGGAAAGGCCCACCAAGGCGACGAUCCGUGGCCAGGCUGAGAGGAUGAUCAGCCCCUCUGGAGCUGAGGCACGCUCCGGACACCGAGGGGCGGCAGGAGUGGGAAAUAUGGGACAAUGUGCGCAAUCCUGACCCAGCCAUACCGCGGGGGUGAAGAAGGCCUUCGGGUGGUAAAGCCCUUUUGUUGGGAAAGAAAAGCAGCAGCUUAAAACCCCCCUGUUCUGACGGGACCCAAAAAAUAAGCACCGGCUAACUGCUU
rnacentral:rRNA from 1 species